GGUUCCCGCCCGGGAUCGAACCGGGGACCUUGUGCCUUGAAGCACAUGUGAUAUCCACUUCAACCACGGGAAC